AACCAAGAAGAUUGAGUCAUGCAUUUUUGGUAAAAAGACAGUUAGGCGAAAAAAAGUUUGUUUAAUUAUUAUUAAGAAGUAAAAUUCGCAAAUAAUUUAGAAACUUAUUCAAAACUAAAAAGCUGAAGCUGUGACACCCUUGAGGGAAACUGGGAUUAGAUACCCCACUAUUCUUGGAGGUAAAAAAAUAUAGAUUUACCAGAGUACUAUGGAUCAAUUACAUUUAAAACUCAAAGAGCUUGGCGGUGUUUUAGACUCUUUAGGGGAACCUGUCUCAUAAUCGACAAUCCACGCAAAACCUGACCUUUAUUUGCUUUCAGUUUGUAUACCGUCGUCGUCAGGUAACUUUUUAGAAUACAGAAGUUAGCAAAAGAGUGUCUAAUAAACUCUUACGUCAGAUCAAGGUGCAGCCAACAUAAAGGGGAGGAUGGGUUACAAUUAUAAAAAUUAUAAUUACGGAAUAACAACUUUAAAUAGCAGUUAUGAAGGAGGACUUAAAAGUAAAGUGUAAUACCUAAAUACAUUGAAUUGAGCUCUGAAACGUGC
rnacentral:rRNA from 1 species